rnacentral:Y_RNA from 1 species
GGCUGGUCCGAGGGUAGUAAGUUAUCUCAAUUGAUUGUGCACAGUUAGUUACAGAUUGAGCUCCUUGUUCUACCCUUUCACCCCUUCUCAGUACUGCUUUUGACUAGUCUUAA